AUUGAACGCUGGCGGAAUGCUUUACACAUGCAAGUCGAACGGUAGAGGGGGGCAACCCCUUGAGAGUGGCGAACGGGUGAGUAAUAUAUCGGAACGUGCCCAGUCGUGGGGAUAACGUAGCGAAAGUUACGCUAAUACCGCAUACGAUCUAAGGAUGAAAGCGGGGGAUCGCAAGACCUCGCGCGAUUGGAGCGGCCGAUAUCAGAUUAGGUAGUUGGUGAGGUAAAGGCUCACCAAGCCAACGAUCUGUAGCUGGUCUGAGAGGACGACCAGCCACACUGGAACUGAGACACGGUCCAGACUCCUACGGGAGGCAGCAGUGGGGGAAUUUUUGGACAAUGGACGCAAGUCUGUUCCAGCCAUUCCGCGUGCAGGAUGAAGGCCCUCGGGUUGUAAACGUGCUUUUGUACGGAACGAAACGGUGAGCUCUAAUACAGUUUGUCUAAUGACGGUACCGUAAGAA
rnacentral:rRNA from 1 species